rnacentral:rRNA from 1 species
CAGUCGCCACGGGAAUACAGAGGGUGCAAGCGUUAAUCGGAAUUACUGGGCGUAAAGCGCGCGUAGGUGGUUUGUUAAGUUGGAUGUGAAAGCCCCGGGCUCAACCUGGGAACUGCAUCCAAAACUGGCAAGCUAGAGUACGGUAGAGGGUGGUGGAAUUUCCUGUGUAGCGGUGAAAUGCGUAGAUAUAGGAAGGAACACCAGUGGCGAAGGCGACCACCUGGACUGAUACUGACACUGAGGUGCGAAAGCGUGGGGAGCAAACAGGAUUAGAUACCCCCGUAGUCCCUGUCUCUUAUAU